UACGUAGGGGGCAAGCGUUGUCCGGAUUUAUUGGGCGUAAAGAGCGUGUAGGCGGCCAGGUAGGCUCGUUGUGAAAACUCGAGGCUCAACCUCGAGACGCCGAUGGAAACCAUCUGGCUAGAGUCCGGAAGAGGAGAGUGGAAUUCCCGGUGUAGCGGUGAAAUGCGCAGAUAUCGGGAAGAACACCCGUGGCUAAGGCGGCUCUCUAGUACGGUACUGACGCUGGAGACGAGAACGGUGGGAGCGAACAGG
rnacentral:rRNA from 1 species